rnacentral:rRNA from 1 species
CUCAUAGCGUAUAUUAAAGUUGUUGCAGUUAAAACGCUCGUAGUCGGAUUUCGGGGCGGGCUGCUCGGUCUGCCGAUGGGUAUGCACUGGGUGGCGCGUCCUUCCUUCCGGAGACCGCGCCUUCUCUUAACUGAGCGGGCGCGGGAGACGGAACGUUUACUUUGAAAAAAUCAGAGUGUUUCAAGCAGGCAUCUCGCUCUUGCAUGGAUUAGCAUGGGAUAAUGAAAUAGGACUUUGGUGCUAUUUUGUUGGUUUCGAACACCGAAGUAAUGAUUAACAGGGACAGUCAGGGGCACUCGUAUUCCGUCGAGAGAGGUGAAAUUCUCAGACCAACGGAAGACGAACCACUGCGAAAGCAUUUGCCAGGGAUGUUUUCACUGAUCAAGAACGAAAGUUAGGGGAUCGAAGACGAUCAGAUACCGUCGUAGUCUUAACCAUAAACCAUGCCGACUAGGGAUUCGAGGGUGUUCCAUCUGUGACCCCUUGAGCACCUUUCGGGAAACUAAAGUCUUUGGGUUCCGGGGGGAGUAUGGUCGCAAGGCUGAAACUUAAGGGAAUUGACGGAAGGGCACCACCAGGAGUGGAGCCUGCGGCUUAAUUUGACUCAACACGGGGAAACUUACCAGGUCCAGACAUUGUGAGGAUUGACAGAUUGAGAGCUCUUUCUUGAUUCAAUGGGUGGUGGUGCAUGGCCGUUCUUAGU